rnacentral:rRNA from 1 species
CCCUUAGAUGUCCUGGGCUGCACGCGCGCUACACUGACGAACUCAACGAGCUUAUCACCUUGGCGGAGAUGUCUGGGUAAUCUUUUGAAAGUUCGUCGUGCUGGGGAUAGAUGAUUGUAAUUAUUCGUCUUGAACGAGGAAUUCCUAGUAAGUGUGAGUCAUCAGCUCGCGCUGAUUACGUCCCUGCCCUUUGUACACACCGCCCGUCGCUCCUACCGAUUGAAUGGUCCGGUGAGGUUCUCGGAUUUUUUCUGUUGUUUGGUUCGCUAAACGAUUGAAGAGAGAAGUUACCCAAACCUUACCAUUUAGAGGAAGGAGAAGUCGUAACA